rnacentral:lncRNA from 1 species
AACCGCGGCUGCUGGACAAGAGGGGUGCGGUGGAUACUGACCUUUGCUCCGGCCUCGUGUGAAGACACAGCGCAUCUCCCCGCUGUAGGCUUCCUCCCACAGAACCCGUUUCGGGCCUCAGAGCGUCUGGUGAGAUGCUGUUGCCGCUGCUGCUGCUGCUACCCAUGUGCUGGGCCGUGGAGGUCAAGAGGCCCCGGGGCGUCUCCCUCACCAUCAUCACUUCUACGAUGAGUCCAAGCCUUUCACCUGCCUGGACGGUUCGGCCACCAUCCCAUUUGAUCAGGUCAACGAUGACUAUUGCGACUGCAAAGAUGGCUCUGACGAGCCAGCACGGCUGCCUGUCCUAAUGGCAGCUUCCACUGCACCAACACUGGCUAUAAGCCCCUGUAUAUCCC